rnacentral:tRNA from 1 species
GUAGCUCAGUGAUAGAGUGCUUGCCUUGCAUGCAUGAGACCCUGGGUUCGAUUCCUCAGC